UUUCCAGUUGGUUCUGGAGUUCUCAGGUGCGCUGGAUGACAGGUGUUUUCCAUCUGCUGAUUGCUUGGAGGAGUACUGAAGUGGGAGGCUGCCAACACUUCGAUGCCAGAGUGUUUGCCUUAGUGGUUUCUACCUGAGUCUUUGUUUACCUUGCUGAGUUUCGACUCCGUUCCAGAGCAUCUCUGAGCAUCUCGAUUAUUAACUACUAAGUUAAGGAACUACCUUCUUUUGGAUUUCUCUCACUUCCGUCUGAACCUUUCGGACAUGGACCAAGCUGGCGGCUCCCCGUUUCCUUCGGCUCCAGGACCCAGGCAUCAGCACACCUGCUUCUUUCUCCUUCUUGAACAUCGGCACCUGAGCUUCUUUUUGUUGGCACCAAGCUCACAACAGAGAAGACGACUGGACAAUCCUCCUUUGCAAGUUAAGACUCUGAAUCUCUCUACCCCUGGCGGUUCUAGUUACGACAAUUUAUUAAGCCAUUUCUCAGAUCUAAGUAAUCAGUUGCUUUAUAUCAUUUGUUUGUUGACCAGUUCAUUCUUCUUCCUUCCCUUACAGUGGGUGUUCCUGUCCUAGACUCCUUUUAUUGACAAUAAAAACCAAAACAAUGUUC